AUGGUGAUCAUGGCGUAUCACCUUUUGCAUGGACAUACGGGGAUGGUUUUCUGCCGACCAGGAGACGCGGCCUGGACGAAGGUAGCUAACCCUAAUUCACAAUACGUAGCCUUCGCUGACUUCGCCUACUCCGAGUCCGAGGGCAAGAUGCUCGCCUUGGACAACAAAGGCCUCACGGUGGUGUUCGAUGCCGAGACACUUGAUGUCCUCUACCAGGUCGACCUGCCGCCGGCGACCUCGAACUUCAGGUACAAGCAUUCCGGCGGCGAUGCUCCGGAUGAGUCGAGUUGCCUCCGCCUUGUUGCAGUGCCGAGCAAGGUGCUUUUGGUCAAAAUAUGCAUCAAGUCCUCUAGGCCGGAGGGGUUCCAAAUCUUUGAGUUAUCGUCCGGGUCAUUGAAAGGUGACGGACGGCCGGUCUGGCGCAAGGUGGCCGGCGACGACAUCGGUGGCGACCACGAGUUAUUCCUGGAUGGCUACCAUGCCACCUUUGGCAACGACCGUGACGGCGGUGGAACACGGAUUUACUACUUUCAUGAUGAAUACAAGUCUGGGGCGGCGUACUGCUACAAUAUGCAGGAUAAUGAGCUGGAGUGCGUGUACAUGCCAUCUGAGGACAACGGUGGCAUAUAUACAACUAGGCCUAGUUGGUUUGUCCCCAGCUAA
rnacentral:rRNA from 1 species